rnacentral:lncRNA from 1 species
GAACUGAAAAUGAAGCACUCACACAGGAAAUGCGGUCAGGCUCUGUACCGGAAGCCUUGUUACACGACGCGAAGGCAAUAAUGAACGCAACAUUUGGAAGAUAAAUAUUGGUUGAAAAGAAGGGGUAAAGUGGAGAUCAAAUUUAAACAGCAGAAUGUAAGCCAAUAUAUAUUACUUGUCAGAAUCAACUGCUGCAUUGCAAAUGAAACCUUUGCAGUUUUUAAAGUAUAAGUGUGGCAGAAGGGUUAUGGACUGUGUUUGCAACAUACACAGAAGUUAAAUUUGCUCAUUAACUGUGUGACUAAAGUGAUAAACUCCAGACUGCUCACCAAAAAAACCCUCCUCUUGUCACCAUCCUCCUUCAAUUUUUCACUGUACGCAUCUCAUGCCGCUGUCACUCAGUCUUUGCUCACAGUUUGUGGUCAGGAAGUACUUCUCUGACAUUUCACUGACAAUGUGUUCCACAGUAGUGGCACGCCAAGAGGAGGGUUUUCACAUCAAAAGAUUUACUACAAAAAAAUGGACCAAAUCUGGAUUAUAUAGCAGCACAGUUGUGGAGGGUAAUUUCUAAAUCUUUUUAUUUUUUUAUCAUAGAUUUUGUAGUUGUCACUUUGUGGCACGUUUAGGUUUUUGUAGCAGGAAGAGUGAAUGUGGGAGGAACAGAGCAGAUGUAAUGCCGGCCAGAUAAGACGGUUUUUUACUAAAGCCCACUGGUUAUCACAAGGUCUUCUCUUCCAGCUCAUGCUCAAUGGUGUGUGUUGCAAUUUCCAGCCAUGUGAUUCUGCAGAUGUGAAAGAACUGAAGACAGAGAAGAAGGAUUCUGCACACGAGCAGUUCGGCACUAACAACGAGAUCUAAUGGAAAACAGAGGAGGAUACCCAAAGUUUGGUAACAUCCUAUCCCAUUGAAACAGAGGAGUGAAGAAAAAGACUCAGAGUGUGAGGCAGACUCCUGCGUUUCAUAUAGAACCAAAAAAAGAAAAAAAGGAGGAGGUCAGCAGUUAUCUCACAGGACAGGAAGAGCCAAAAGGAGAAGAAACUUCAACAAAGGGUGUUGAGACUGAACAAGACAUUGAUAAAACACUGAGUGAGAGUACAUCUCAGGAGUUUCCCAGCUUCCAGGUGGACUUUACAGCUCAUGUAAACCCAGAAAGUGGAACAGGAGGAGAUCGGUAUUCAUCUGAACAGACAGGAAGAGCUUGAAAGUGGAGAAACUGAAGCAAAAACUGUUGAAACUCAGUCAGACUCAAUCAAAAUACUUGUUGAGUAGGUUCAAAGCUCCAAGAAUGAGGUGGACUGUUUUUGGACAAAAACAGAGGAAAAGCCAACAGCCUGGACUGGAAGAAUCAACAUCAGAAUAACGGAGCCGGUAAUGAAGAAAGUGAGGAGCCACAGUCCACCAGCUGUGUCAGAGAGGUGUGAGUAUUUUGACAGAUCGUCGUUAAUCUACCACACAUCUGAGAUAUGCAUUUGGAGCAGUAAUUUGUUUGAUUCUGAUGGACUUUAAGUCCAUGACACAGGAACUACCAGUAUUACCUUCACGUAAUGAAUUAAAGAUUGCCAGUGUAAUUUAAAUGUAAUCCUUUAUUACUGCUGUCUUGGAAAUGUGAUGUUACAUAACUUUUGUGUUACUUUUAACUUAACACCUGCUGAAGUAGAACAUAAAAGGGAAGUUUAUGGUUUAUUAAGAACUACUACAGCUGUAGUUUAUGAUUGGUAAAGUGAAACUGCAGGAACAAAAAUUGGAGGAUCAAUCCAUAAACUUUUUAAAUAAAAAUAAAAAUUUCCAUUUUGAAAAAAGAGAAAACACAAACAUAAAAAAAGAACCAGAGGCAUCCAUCAACAAAAACUAUACACUUGAAGUAUAAUUUUAUUAACUACACUUGAGUAUAAGUAUAAUAUGUAUAGUUAUAGCAAGUGCACUAUAGACCAUGUAUGUGUAGUGUGGGAAUUAUGCUAGCUGAAUACUUCUUCAGACUAAAUUGGACUAAAUUGGAACAUUUUAAGUCUACAAUAUAUGAUAGUAUAUAAAAGGUAAGCUUCAAGUAUACUAGCUCAUUUUUAGUAUUGACCCAGUAUGCUUGUAGUACACUUAAAUAGAUGACUUUUUGCCAAGAGCUGUGUGCCUCAGACAGACUACAACAAAUGCUUCAUAAAAGCAGGUUAAUGGUACACUGCUCAGCCUGCAACAAGACAGAUGUUGUCCCUGUGGAAAAAACAGGACAGGAUGCAGUUAUUUGGAACACAGAAAUGAACUAAAGGUGUUUGGAUUUAAGAGCUCAACAGGAAAUUUGAUUCAUUAAGUAAUAAUAACUUUAAAAAGCUCAAAAAUAAUCAAAAUUAAGCAAAAAAAAGCUUUUUCUGUUAAUGUCUUUUAGUUUCACUGCUUUAGGAAAUUUGGUUAGUCUUUUGCGAUACAAAAGUUACUGAACACGUACUUCCUAAACAACUGUUACAGUAAAAAGUAACAUUCUACUGCACUAUAUUACUUUUGUAACGAAUCACUACUCUCUCAACUGUCCUAAAAAUAAAAAAGGAGAACUUUCCAAAUUAACCUUUAUUUUGAAUAACAUUGAUUCUGUAACCUAGAGAAGUAUCAGUUGAGACAAGAGACAGGACAGGACAGGACAUUUGAUUGGCUAUAUCCAAUCCAAUAUAUAUCCAAUCAUCAGGGAUGUUAAUUUCCCUAAAUUUAUAUUCAACGAAAAGCCUUAAUUUAAUAUAUUUAAUGGUUUAUUUACUGAAACGGCACAAAACAUGUUAACUAUUGAAUCUGUUUGACCAAAUUUAGAGUUAUGCCAAUCAUCUGAUGUGGAUGUGAUCGUCUCUCACCUUUUUUAACUACGCAAAGUGUAGGAAGUAGUGGAUAAAAUGAGUACAGAGUCGUGAUAAUGUCAUCCUGGAGGUUUUAGUUCCUGCUUGGUGUGGGUUGUUUUACUCUGGUCAUCGUGGGGGGGUCUGUGGUACAGAGGUAGAGCGGUCGACCUCUGAUGGAAUAUUACAGAUUCGGUUCCCGCCUUGUCCGUUCAUGCGAUGAAGUGACCUUGAACAAGACACUGAACCCCACAUUGCUCCUGGUGGUUAUAGGGCCAGUAUUUGCCAUCAGUGACUGUACAUCAUUUUAGUUCUUCUAAGACAGUAGUAAAGAGAUGUAUAAGUAUACACCCUUCCUAUCAUGGUUAAAUUGAGAUUUAAAAUGGGUACUUUUAACUAGUGUAAGUAGUUAGAAUUGUAUAAAUAUAAAGAUAUCAACCUGCAACAAGUCAUUAUUUUCAUAUGGAAGUAUCUCAACUUCCUUUUCCAUUUUGAAAUGCUUUUGCUAUGAUAUAAAACCUUUAUCAGGAACUGUUUUCAGUUUUUUCCACUCUUUGUAAGGUGAUAGCUGUAGAACUGCUAAAAAAUGACACAUCCUUUAUUUCUACACUUACAGAGGAGCUCAGGUACCUGCUUUCUGAGGAACGUCUGCAUUCAGGAGCUGAAGAAGACCGAAGGAUACCAGAACCAAUGAGGUUCAGAAUGAAGAGGCAUGAUUGUGUGGAGAUGUAGAUCAGGAUGUGGAGCCUGAAAAGCCAAAUGAUGCAGAAAGCAUAAAAAUAAAUAUUGACAAUUGCAGAAGAGAGCACAGAAAGCACACAACAUCAAGCAGAGGUGCUGGGAAAUCUUGAUGGGACAAACCGUGUAGAGUAACUUCAGAGUUCCCAAACAUUUUUUCAGGGGAUCAAGAGGCUUCAGUGAAGCCU